rnacentral:rRNA from 1 species
AUUGAACGCUGGCGGCAGGCCUAACACAUGCAAGUCGAACGAGUGGCGGACGGGUGAGUAAUGUCUGGGAAACUGCCUGAUGGAGGGGGAUAACUACUGGAAACGGUCGCUAAUACCGCAUACCAUCGGAUGUGCCCAGAUGGGAUUAGCUAGUAGGUGGGGUAACGGCUCACCUAGGCGACGAUCCCUAGCUGGUCUGAGAGGAUGACCAGCCACACAGGAAAACAGACACGAUCCAGAGUCCUAGGUGAGGCACCAGUGGGGAAUAUUGCACAAUGGGCGCAAGCCUGAUGCAGCCAAACCGCGUGUAUGAAGAAGGCCGUCGAGUGGUAAAGUACUUUAAGCGGGGAGGCGUUACCCACAGAAGAAGCACCGGCUAACUCCGUACCAGCAGCCGCGGUAAUUC